rnacentral:misc_RNA from 1 species
AAUUAAUUCUGAUAUAUUUUUUAAUGUUUCUUUCAAGACUUGAACCCUUGAAGAUAGAUGGGUCCCUGUGGAACCACUAAGAAUUGUGGGCACCCAUGCUCAAUAAUAGAAUCUUUUCUUGAUAUUUUCAGUAAGGUGAGGAGAUGAUAAGCCUUUGUGUACUUUGUUGAGUUUUGAUGGAAUCUUCCUGCAUAGUUGUUUUUUUCCCCUUUGUACAAUUACAGAGGGAUG